UGUGGGGCUGGUUGCUUUAAGUUGCUGCUGAGUAAAUGACAACUGGAUAUGAUGACUGAUUACCUGAGAAAUAAUUGAUGAAAUCUCAAGAAAAUUCCUCUAGAUAGUCAAGUUCUGAUCCAGCUGUGUCAUGUCAGCUCAAAGCAGCAACUUG
rnacentral:miRNA from 1 species